UAGGGAAUAUUGCAAAAUGGGCGCAAGCCCGAUGCAGCAACGCCGCGUGGGCGAUGAAGGCCUUCGGGUCGUAAAGCCCUUUUUGAGGGGAUGAGGAAGGACAGUACCCUCAGAAUAAGCCUCGGCUAACUACGUGCCAGCAGCCGCGGUAAAACGUAGGAGGCGAGCGUUAUCCGGAUUUACUGGGCGUAAAGCGCGUGCAGGCGGAUUGGAGAGUUGGAUGUGAAAGCUCCCGGCUUAACUGGGAGAGGUCGUUCAAUACUUCCAGUCUUGAGUGCAGUAGAGGGAAGUGGAAUUCCGUGUGUAGUGGUGAGAUGCGUAGAUAUCCGGAGGAACACCAGUGGCGAUAGCGGCUUCCUGGACUGUAACUGA
rnacentral:rRNA from 1 species